CAACUUUCAGCAACGGAUCUCUUGGCUCUCGCAUCGAUGAAGAACGCAGCGAAAUGCGAUAAGUAAUGUGAAUUGCAGAAUUCAGUGAAUCAUCGAAUCUUUGAACGCACCUUGCGCUCCUUGGUAUUCCUUGGAGCAUGCCUGUUUGAGUGUCAUUAAU
rnacentral:rRNA from 1 species